CGUGUCGGUCGUGUCUUCUCUUGUCUCCUCGAUAGUUUAAUGUAGUUUACAUAGCAGACUUGAGUCGAGCCAGCCAUCAUCAUUAACAAGAAUUAAAGGUUUUCUUGUCAUCAUUCAACCUCAUCAGCAUCGUCAUCAGCAGCAGUGUCCAGCUUGUCCGCUUCGUCAAUUUGGUAAUAAGCACCACAUUUGA